UUGACCUCAAAUCAGGUAGGACUACCCGCUGAACUUAAGCAUAUCAAUAAGCGGAGGAAAAGAAACUAACAGGAUUCCCCUAGU
rnacentral:rRNA from 1 species